UACUAGAAGGUUUGCUUUAAAAAUACAAGAGAAGAAGAAGAAGAAGAAAAAAAAAAGCACCACUAAUGAAGAUCCAGGAAUCCAGGUUUCAAGAACUGGAGACUUUCAGAGGUGCGUGUUUUGUGAUAGACAGUUCAUGAAGGUUUAAUUGUCACAAGGCAUUCCCACAGCUCUCUUCUGAGAACAACGGUUUCUGAGAUAAUACUCCACUGACCAUAACUGACUGGAUGGAGAACAGACAUUGCUGUUAAGCAUCUGCUCUAAGAAACCCGUCAUGCGGAGGAAUGAGAGAGAAGAAAAGAAAGUUUUCCUUAAGAAGAAUAAAUGGAGGUAUCACCUAGAGGAAGCAAAUGAAGUUAGAUUUUGAAAGGAAAGCAAGAUGCCCUGUUGCAAGCUGUUGCAAGCUGAAAGAUGGGAUGGACCUCCGUGGGGUUCUGUGCCUCCUGCGUGGCAUCUGGUGCUUCUAAGAGAGGUAAGCUGAGCACAAUUCCCCAUGCCUGUGGCAACUGGAACCCUGCUCGGUUUCUUGCAACUUGAAAAAAUGCUAAUGAUAAAAAAAAUUAAGAAAACAGGAGAAAUUGCAGAAGAAGAGAA